UUCCGGUUGAUCCUGCCGGAGGCUACCGCUAUUGGAGCUCGCAUAAGCCAUGCGAGUCGCGAGAAAUUAGAUUCUCGGGGUACCGCUCAGUAACACGUGGGUAACCUGCCCUAUGCUGGAUAAUAACCUCAGCGAAACUAGUGAAUACACUGAUCCCGUACGUUCACGUACAGACCUGGACACGGCUCUGAGUGGAUUGAAAAGCUCCUGGCAGGCAUAUGGAUGUGGCCUGUCGGCCGUAUCACAGUAGUAGAGGGAGUGUAAACGUAUCCCCUCUAGGCCCUACUAGCGCUGUACGUGUGUGUUGUGGACGACAAUAGUCCCAGGAGGACUGGCAUAUCUGA
rnacentral:rRNA from 1 species